GGGUUGUGGCUCAGUGGUAGAGCACUUGCCUAGCAUGUGUGAGGUACUGGGUUCGAUUCUCAGCACUGCCUA
rnacentral:tRNA from 1 species